rnacentral:lncRNA from 1 species
AUACUUGGCUACAGUUCUAUUAAUUAAAAAUAGUAUCAGAAACAAAAUAUCUACAUCGGCAAAACAGAGGCAGUUUUUGAAAUUGCACUGUUUUAGAGACCUGAGAUGCUGGGCAUGCUGAAAAAAAUGCUUACGAGAGUACCAACACUUGGGGAAAAAGUUCUCGCAUAGAGAAAUACAAGUUCAAAGGAUUUGUUGCAUCGAUAAUACUUAAAUAUCCAAAGUGUUCUCAGAGAAUAAAAUAUAAAUGUUUUAUCAUGAAAAGGUAAAGAGUGAUGGGUACUUCUGUGUAGACAAGAAAUUUGUUUUCCACUUCCCAACCUUUCCAGAGCCUUGUUGAGUUGCAAUUCUUGCAGGUGAAUAAACAAUGACCUGAAGAAUCAAUGUUCAAAUAUCCCCGAAAAAGUUAGUCUAUCCACAGAUCCAUUAACUGACCAGCAAAAGAAGUAGGCAUAUUUGUCAAUGAACUCAAGAGGUAUGACCUAUAUAUUGCUUCAGAUGAAAAAAAAGGCUAAAUAACUAAUAUAACCAAAUGCCUAUGUUUCAUCUGGAAGAAUAAGAACAGGAAUUUCCAGUAAAUUGUGAACUCUAGAGGUAUGACCUAUAUAUUGCUUCAGAUGAAAAAAACAAAGGCUAAAUAACUAAUAUAACCAAAUGCCUAAGUUUCAUCUGGAAGAAUAAGAACAGUAAUUUCCAGUAAGCUGUUGAGAAUGGCAUGCUCGAUUCCUCAGUAUCUGCAUCUGCUUCUUUUGUCUAGAAAGGGAAGGGGAAAGUGAAGAUGAUGAGGACAUCAUCGAGGGAAAUUCAAAUUGGGGAAAAAUACAUGUGUACAGACCACAUACCCUUUAUCCCCACAAGAGAACACGUGCACUCAUCUCAGCAAAUUUGUGCAAUUUGAGUUGGAGCAAAUCUCAGUCGUAUGAUGAGAAUAAAGGACAGCUAGGAAUAGAUAAUAAAGGGUCCACUAGAGUUGGUUAAUUUGUUAUAGACUAGGCAAUAGAAUUAAGGAGCUCAUUAGCUCAUCCUCUGAAUUUAUUCACAAACAUUCAUCUCCUAUUUCUACCAUUCAGUAGAGAGCACAAACAGCCUACUUAUUUAUCUGACUAUAUGUGCAAUGUAGUUUUUCUUAUUAAUCUUAAUCUUGUUUUACAUCUUUUAUCACUCCUCCUGCGUACCCUUUUUCAACACUUUCUUCAGUUAAUCAAAAAGUUCUUAAUUUUGUUUCUACUAUGGCUGAACCAUCUACAUAUGCACAAGUUGCUAUGCACCCUGGGUGGCAGCAGGCUAUGGCAUGUGAACUUGAAGCCUUGGAGGCUUAACAAGACUUGGAAGUAGUUCAACUACCUCAAGGGAAAAAAUACUCCCCUUGUAAGUGGGUGUUCAAAAAGAAAAAAGAAAAAAAGGUAUGAUGAGAGUCUUGAAAGAUUAAAGGCAAGACUUGUUGUUAGGGAUGAUAUCCAAAGAGAAUGUGUGGAUUUCAAUGAAAGCUUCUCCCCAAUUGUGAAGAUGACCACCAUAAGAUGCAUUUUAUCUAUAGCAGUCAAAAGAGGUUGGCCUUUAUCACGAUUGGAUGUUAAUAAUGCAUUUUUACAUGGUAAAUUACAAGAAGAGGUCUAUAUGAGGUUUCCCCCGGAAUAUCUUCUCGUAGUCCUAAUCAUGUUUGAAAGCUUGGGAAAUCUCUCUAUGAUUCAAGACAUGAUUCAUGCCAAUGGUAUUCUAAGCUUACUUCUGCUCUCAAUUUCAAGGGAUUUAUUUCCUCUUUAAAUGAUUAGUCCUUAUUUUUUUUAAAGGAUGAUGAUUCAAUUUCUUAAGUUGUUGUUUAUGUGGAUGAGACAUUAUUUUGACCGGUAACAACUCAGAUGAACUCACUCUACUCAAAACAUUCCUUGAUACUGAAUUAAAUCAAGGAUCUUGGGGACUUACAUUAUUUUUUUGGGACUUGAGAUUUUAGAGCAGCCUCAUGGUCUCAUUAUUACUCGGCAGAAGUACACUUUGGAGCUCCUUUCCGAAUAUGAUUGCACCCAUCUGCCACUUGUUUCUUCACCUCUUGAUCCUACAACAAAAUUACAAGCUCAUUAUGGAGAUAAUUUGAUAGAUCCUACUUGUUAUAGACGACUUACUGGCAAAUUGAUUUACCUCACUCAUAGUCGACCAAAUAUUUGCUAUGCAGUGCAGCAUCUCUCUCAGUAUAUACAGGGUCCCUGGACAUCUCAUUUUUCAGCUGCACUGCGAGUUCUUCAAUACCUCAGGAACAAUCCCAGUCAAGGUCUGUUUCUGACAAGUGAUCUUUCUGUCAAAUUGGUUGCUUUCGCGAUGCAGAUUGGGUAUCGUGUGUCGAUUUGCGUCAAUCAGGCAGUUGAUUUUUUGUCACUCUUGGAGGCUCACCUGUUUCUUGGAAGCCAAAAAGAACAGGUUUCCAUUUCCUUAUCCUCAGCGGGAGCUGAGUAUCGCUCCAUGAGAAGAGUUGUGGCUGAUAUGACAUGGCUCAAUUGUCUUCUUAUUGAUAUGGGAUCUCCGACUCUGAUUUACUCCGAUAGCCACUUCGUACGGAAAACAAUUCCU